GCCUUAGCAAUGUUCCUCAUUGCCUUCCGGGCUCGCCCAUGGACUUUUGACAGCUCUUGUAGCACGUCGCCUUGGAAUCCGGACACUUCUCCCUCGGGCCACCCAGUUAACACACCUACAGGUACAAAAUCCUGUUAAAACUUUUUCAUCAAGGGAUCUUAAUGAAAGUAAAGGUUUCAAGACAUACGGAAUAUGCCGCCUUUUAGCUUUCUGUCCUCUUUCAAAGCAUCCGACAGCUGGGCUCUAACGUCCUUUAGCUCCUCGGCUAGCUUGGUAUUAGCAUCCUGUAGCUUGUUUUUCUCAUCCCUGGUCCGCGUUAAUAUACGCUGACUAGCAGCUUCUUGACUUUCGGCAUGUUGUUUAUCCGCCUGCGCGGCCUUCAGUUCC
rnacentral:lncRNA from 1 species